ACUGUACCCUACUGUAAGUUGCUUUCGAUAAAAGCAUCUGCUAAAUAGCAUACA
rfam:Salmo salar isolate Sally breed double haploid chromosome ssa22, whole genome shotgun sequence.